AAAAUGGCUCUAUUGCUUGUUUGACUCUUUAAAUCAAUAAUACUUAAGAGCCACAUCUUAUUCUUAAAAAAGAAUAUU
rfam:Ricinus communis cultivar Hale ctg_1100012360145, whole genome shotgun sequence.